rnacentral:misc_RNA from 1 species
UUGCAGCUUACAACAAGGCCUCUUAUACAGAAAAUUCACGCCCAGUUACAAUCACAAAUUCCCACUCAGCAUAACAGAUCUCAGUAUGGAGCUAAAUAGUCUCAAAAUAACAUGAAUAAAAAAAAAAAAAUAAAACCUCUCUGCUAGUCUAGCAGUAACUUGUCUAAGCUUUGAGUAUACCUUACCAGCAGGGGACCCUAAAAUAAGGCUACAGAGAGAAUCCCUUGCAAUUUUAAUGUUUUGAAA